AAGGUUUUCUUAAAGCGAUCACAACAUGAAGCUAUUACUGUUUAUUUCCGCACUAAUUGCAGUUCUCUGCACCACAAUUGUGGCUGCUGAUUGCUUGACGGACCCCGUGACAAUGCUGUGCAUUUUGGACCCAAAUCAUGGCAAAUAACUUUGUAUGUCACCUGGCUCAAUAAAGCACAAAAGUAGAACACGAUGUGGGCUUCUGUAUCCUAAGUAAUUCAAGUCUCCCCAGACUGAGUUACGUGUGGCAAAUCGCAUUAAACAUUCCACGCCCACCGCCUUCCCACUACCCCAGACAUCGUUUUUGUUAAGGUCUCAAUACCCUGCCGUUGGGUAUUUCGAUACUGCGAUUCACUAUGUAACGCUUAUUGAAAGAUAUAUUCUUUUGAAUACUGAAUUGCCCUGUGUUACAGUUUUAAUAUCCACUAAACAUCAUUAAAUCAUUUUUUGUAAUGGGUAUUUUCAGUGUCGUGGCAUAAAUAUAUAGCAGUUUUGUGUA